GUCAGGCGCGGUGGUGCGCGCCUGUAGUCCUAGCUACUCGGGAGGCUGAGGCAGGAGAAUCGCUUGAGUCCAGGAGUUCUGGGCUGCAGUACACUAUGCCGAUAGGGUGUCCACACUAAGUUCGGCAUCAAUAUGGUGACCUCCCGGGAGUGGGGGACCACCAGGUUGCCUAAGGAGGGGUGAACCAGCCCAGGUCGGAGAAGGACAUCACAUAUCACUUAUGUGUAUUCCUGUCCCCCAAAGCACAACCUA
rnacentral:sRNA from 1 species